rnacentral:rRNA from 1 species
GACGAACGCUGGCGGCGUGCUUAACACAUGCAAGUCGAACGGAAAGGCCCUGCUUUUGUGGGGUGCUCGAGUGGCGAACGGGUGAGUAACACGUGAGUAACCUGCCCUUGACUUUGGGAUAACUUCAGGAAACUGGGGCUAAUACCGGAUAGGAGCUCCUGCUGCAUGGUGGGGGUUGGAAAGUUUCGGCGGUUGGGGAUGGACUCGCGGCUUAUCAGCUUGUUGGUGGGGUAGUGGCUUACCAAGGCUUUGACGGGUAGCCGGCCUGAGAGGGUGACCGGCCACAUUGGGACUGAGAUAAGGCCCAGACUCCAAAGGGAGGCAGCAGUGGGGAAUAUUGCACAAUGGGAGGAAGCCUGAUGCAGAAACGCCGCGGGCGGGAUGACGGCCUUCGGGUUGUAAACCGCUUUCGCCUGUGACGAAGCGUGAGUGACGGUAAUGGGUAAAGAAGCACCGGCUAACUACGUG